rnacentral:rRNA from 1 species
CUGGCUCAGGACGAACGCUGGCGGCGUGCCUAAUACAUGCAAGUCGAGCGGACAGAUGGGAGCUUGCUCCCUGAUGUUAGCGGCGGACGGGUGAGUAACACGUGGGUAACCUGCCUGUAAGACUGGGAUAACUCCGGGAAACCGGGGCUAAUACCGGAUGGU